rnacentral:tRNA from 1 species
GCGUCUGUAGCUCAAUUGGAUAGAGCGCCUCUCUUACGAAGUUGGAGGUUGAGGGUUCGAGUCCCUCCAGGCA